rnacentral:rRNA from 1 species
GCCAGCAGCCAUAUCACCCUGCAGCUCUAAACUGGCUACCCACUGAAGCUAAGCAGAGUUGAGUCUGGUCAGUACCUGGAAGUGUGACCUCCUGGAAAGCUAUGGUUGCUGCUGGAA